ensembl:lncRNA
GGGAACUGCUUAGAGAUGGCACAGUCUAAUCCUCUAGCUUCUCAUGAGUCCUGGUGGAAGCAACCUGACCCGGGCUGCACACAGCACAUCACCAACUCAGAUCCAACACUGCUCCCUCGGCACCCUCGGUUCAGCCCCAGCUCAGGACGUGUCUCUUUCUGCCAGAUCAGAGAGUUUGGAAGGGUGUGGAGGUUCAGUUCCUGGACUAACUAAACAGGAGGCUGCAAGCUUUCCUCUGAUGUGCCCCCUUGUCCAAGGGCCCUGCCCCUGGGAGACAGAACUCUGGGCUGUGGCCGCUCCUCCUGGUGUCUGCUUUGGACUCACCACAAGCCCAGCUGCUAUUGACCACCUGGAUUUCUUUUAAAAGGUACCUCACUUAAAACAGCUAAACCUGUGUCAACUAAGAGUCCAGUCCUGCACUCUGAGAACUCAUGAAGUGAUGCAAAUACACAGAUGCUCAAGUCAGAAGAGAUUCCUGUCUCAUUGUCAUCAUCUGAGCCUUGUGGCCCAGUGGACAAUGAAGGUGAUUAUAAUACUUACCUUGCUUCUUAUGAAAAUGAGCAUGACCAUCACACAUAAAUUUCUUUGAGAAUUAGUUAUACAACUGUUACACAUGACAAUGAAUAUUCACAAGCAGGGAAGGCAAGGGAAAUUCACAUUUACAAGCUAAUGAUUAUGAAGUGCUUCCUGAGUAAUUUACAUGAAUCAUUCCAUUAAUUUGAACAAGAGUUACAUUGUUCAUUCCAUUAAUUUAAACAAGAGCCUAAAUGGAGGCUGGUACCUUUAUCAUCUCCAGUUUAGAUGAAGAGACUGACACCCAGAGAUUUUAAGUAACAGACAGCAAAGGGCAGGGUCAGAAUAUUAAGUCUUGGUAAUUUAGUGCCAGCAAAUGAGCAUUUUAACUAUCAGAUGCCUCAACACCACCUGAAGGUCUGGAUAAAACAGAAAUUGCUGGGUCCCACUCCCAAGGUUCUGAUUCAGUAGCUUUGAGAAUUUGGUUUCUAAGACGUUCCCAGGUGACCCUGAUGCUGCUGGACUGGGGGCCACACGGUGAGAAUUCUGUGUCACACAGAGCUCUCCUGGUACUUCCUGCCCCAUCAGUGUCUAAAUCAGGAUCUCUGAGGCCUGUUUGCACAAGUGAGCUGGACAUCUGUGUGCACAAGGUAUUUGAUUUAUGUCAUGAAGACAUUUGUUACACUAAUGGGCAAAAUAGAUGAGGACGCUGAGGAGACUCUGACUUCUUCAGAAGUGAAGUGAGAGAAGUUGCUCAGUGCUUGAUGGCCCUGCCGCUACCCAAAUCAUUGUAGCUCUGGCUGCUCAGACUCUUCCCCAGAGCUGGCCAGGGGGAGGGGAGGCCAUUGUCUGAGGAAGACACAGAGAACAGAUUCACAGCCUGCUUCCUUAGCUUCCCUCAGCUUUGCCCUUUUAGCUGGUCACACUCUCGGAUUUCAGAAAUCAUCUAUGAGUGGAGACAUAAGGCAUAGCUUGCAAGAAGAGAAAGCAUAGGCCAAGAAGAUUUAAACUUAAUUAAUAUUAAUUAAAUUUAUGGUUUUUAAAAGGAAUAAGAAAAAAGAUCUCUAGAAGAAUAAUAGGGGUUGAGCCAAAAGCAGAGGUCAUAGACAGAAGAGAGCUAAAAAAUCAAGACAUAUAGAUAUACUGUUAUUCCAGAAUUCUAUUUGUUGAGAGGACUAUGCUUUCUCCACCAAACAACCUUCAUAGCUUUGUCAAAUCAGUUGUCCAAAUUGAAGAGCCAAAACAAUCUUGGAAAAGAUGAAUAAAGUUGCUGGACUCAAACAUCAUGAUUUCAAAAUUUACUACAGAUCUACAGCAAUCAAGACUGUGUGGUGCUCACAUAAAGAUAGACAUAUACACAAUGGAAAAUAAUUCGAGAAUCUACAAAGAAACCCUCACAUAUAUGGUUGAUUGAUUUUCUGCAAUGGUGCCAAGACUGUUUAGUGUGGGUAAAAACGGUCUUCACCAAAUGGUAUUGGGAUAACCAGAUAUCCACAUACAAAAGAAUAAAGUUGGACUCCUGCCUCACACCAUAUACAAAAGUGAAUUCAAAAUGAAUCACAACUAUAAGACUCUGAGAAGAAACAUAAGGGUCAAUCCUUGGGCACUUAGAUUAGGUAAUGGGCCAUCUCUCCAUUUAUUUAGAUCUUAUUUAGUUUCACUCAACAAUGUUUUAUAGGUUUCAGUACAGGUCUUUCACAUCUUUUGCAGAUUUAUACCUAUUUUAUGCUAUUACAAAUAACGAUUUUUACAUUUUAAGUUCUAAUUUUUAUUUCCAUUAGUGUAUAAAAAUAAUGUUGAUCUUUGUACAUUGAUUUGGUACCCUGCAGCCUCACUAAACUCACUUAGUUUUAGUAGCUUUACUGUAGAUUCCAUCAGCUUUUCUCUGUAAACAGUCGUGUCAUUUGUACAUAAAGGCAAUUUUACUUCUCCAACGUAUAUACCUUUCAUUUCUUUUUCUUGACUUAAUAA